GACGAACGCUGGCGGCGUGCUUAACACAUGCAAGUCGAACGGAAUGGCGAACGGAUGAGUAACACAUGGGUGACCUACCCUGCACUUCGGGAUAAGCCUGGGAAGCUGGGUCUAAUACCGGAUAGUGUGGGAUGGGCGGGGGGCAUAUCAGCUUGUUGGUGGGGUAAUGGCCUACCACGGCGGCGACGGGUAGCCGGCCUGAGAGGGUGGACGGCCACAUUGGGACUGAGACACGGCCCAGAGGCCUACGGGAGGCAGCAGUGGGGAAUAUUGCACAAUCGGCGGACGCGUGAGGCAGCGACGCCGGGUGGGGGAUGACGGCCUUCGGGGUGUAAACUCCUUUUACCAUCGACGCGGUAGAUGGAGAAGAAGCACCGGCUAACUACGUGCCAGCAGCCGCGGUAAUAC
rnacentral:rRNA from 1 species